GCCCAGGUGAUGGAAUUGGUAUACAUACUAGGUUGAGGGCCUAGCCGCGCAAGCGGGUGAGGGUUCGAGUCCCUCCCUGGGCA
rnacentral:tRNA from 1 species